rnacentral:piRNA from 1 species
UGGGGCUGACUGCACCUCUAUGUGGAGAUU